rnacentral:rRNA from 2 species
CCAGACAGCCAGGAUGUUGGCUUAGAAGCAGCCAUCAUUUAAAGAAAGCGUAAUAGCUCACUGGUCGAGUCGGCCUGCGCGGAAGAUGUAACGGGGCUAAACCAUGCACCGAAGCUGCGGCAGCGACACUAUGUGUUGUUGGGUAGGGGAGCGUUCUGUAAGCCUGUGAAGGUGGCCUGUGAGGGUUGCUGGAGGUAUCAGAAGUGCGAAUGCUGACAUAAGUAACGAUAAAGCGGGUGAAAAGCCCGCUCGCCGGAAGACCAAGGGUUCCUGUCCAACGUUAAUCGGGGCAGGGUGAGUCGACCCCUAAGGC